rnacentral:rRNA from 1 species
GGUAGCCGGCCUGAGAGGGCGACCGGCCACACUGGGACUGAGACACGGCCCAGACUCCUACGGGAGGCAGCAGUGGGGAAUAUUGGGCAAUGGAGGAAACUCUGACCCAGCGACGCCGCGUGCGGGAUGAAGGCCUUCGGGUUGUAAACCGCUUUCAGCAGGGAAGAAGCGAAAGUGACGGUACCUGCAGAAGAAGCACCGGCUAACUAUGUGCCAGCAGCCGCGGUAAUACAUAGGGUGCAAGCGUUGUCCGGAAUUAUUGGGCGUAAAGAGCUCGUAGGUGGUUCGUCACGUCGGAUGUGAAACUCUGGGGCUUAACCCCAGACCUGCAUUCGAUACGGGCGUGCUUGAGUAUGGUAGGGGAGUCUGGAAUUCCUGGUGUAGCGGUGGAAUGCGCAGAUAUCAGGAGGAACACCAAUGGCGAAGGCAGGACUCUGGGCCAUUACUGACACUGAGGAGCGAAAGCGUGGGGAGCGAACAGGAUUAGAUACCCUGGUAGUCCACGCCGUAAACGGUGGGCACUAGUUGUGGGGACCUUCCACGGUCUCUGCGACGCAGCUAACGCAUUAAGUGCCCCGCC